AACGAACGCUGGCGGCGUGCCUAACACAUGCAAGUCGUGCGGGAAUAGGGGAGCAAUCCCCUUAGUACAGCGGCGCACGGGUGAGUAACACGUAGGUAACCUACCUUGGAGACUGGGAUAACCUGUCGAAAGACUGGCUAAUACCAGAUAAGACCACGAGAGCUGCGGCUCUUGGGGUAAAAGAUGGCCUCUGUUUACAAGCUAUUACUCUAGGAUGGGCCUGCGCGCCAUUAGCUAGUUGGUAGGGUAACGGCCUACCAAGGCGAUGACGGGUAGGGGGCCUGAGAGGGCGAACCCCCACAUGGGGACUGAGAUACGGCCCUGACUCCUACGGGAGGCAGCAGUAGGGAAUCUUCCGCAAUGGACGAAAGUCUGACGGAGCGACACCGCGUGGAGGACGAAGGCCUUCGGGUUGUAAACUCCUUUUCCAGGGGAAGAACAAGGGUAAGAGGAAAUGCUUAUCCGAUGACGGUACUCUGGGAAUAAGCCACGGCUAACUCUGUGCCAGCCGCCGCGGUAAUAC
rnacentral:rRNA from 1 species